rnacentral:rRNA from 1 species
CACGUCAACAGCAGUUGGACGUGGGUUAGUCGAUCCUAAGAGAUGGGGAAGCUCCGUUUCAAAGCGCCUGAUUUUAUUGCAGGCCUACCAUCGAAAGGGAAUCCGGUUAAUAUUCCGGAACCUGGAUAUGGAUUCUUCACGGCAACGUAACUGAAUGUGGAGACGUCGGCGUGAGCCCUGGGAGGAGUUAUCUUUUCUUCUUAACAGCUUAUCACCCUGGAAUUGGUUUAUCCGGAGAUGGGGUUUUAUGGCUGGAAGAGGCCAGCACCUUUGCUGGCUCCGGUGCGCUUACGACGGCCCUUGAAAAUCCACAGGAAGGAAUAGUUUUCAUGCCAGGUCGUACUGAUAACCGCAGCAGGUCUCCAAGGUGAACAGCCUCUAGUUGAUAGAAUAAUGUAGAUAAGGGAAUUCGGCAAAAUAGAUCCGUAACUUCGGGAUAAGGAUUGGCUCUAAGGGUCGGGCAGUGAGGGCCUUGGUCAGACGCAGCGGGUGUGCUUGCGGACUGCUUGGUUGGGCUUCGGUCUGGCUAGGCGGACUGCUUGCGUGCCUUGUUGUAGACGGUCUUGGUAGGGAGCUCCGUGCUUCCGUCGCUUGCUGCGAUUAACGAUCAACUUAGAACUGGUACGGACAAGGGGAAUCUGACUGUCUAAUUAAAACAUAGC